CCUAUAAUCUGCACUCUAAGAAUUAGAGUAUGAGGGGACAUCAAGUCUUACCUCAAAGUUAACAACCUGAGAAGGGGGAGAAACCUUUGAUGCCAAAAAUAAACUUCUAAGUAUUACUUGUAUGACCCGAGGAAUAUGUGAGGAAAUUUAAUUUGGAGGUACUACCUCCAUUUUCAAAGCUAAACUCAAAAAUUUAAUUGAGAAAUAUGAUCAAAUUAUCCACUAGCAUUUCUUCAUCUCGAUACAAGGCAUCCCUAGUCUAUCUAAUCUCAGAGACCACGUGAGGCUCCAUCAUGUACUCUUCUGUGAUCAAAAGAUCUGAUCAGUACUUGGAGGAUAUCAGAAAUCCUCCGAAUGGAGCCAUUCAAUGUGAUUAUUUCUCAAUCUAGUGAGGACUGUUUGUAGAAUUUUGAAAAUGUGUCUUUUAGUAAUUACCUUUCUUUUUUUGUGUUAAUUGGUAUUUUAGAAAUGGUUAGCAAAAGUUAUUAGAGAUUCAUAGCAAAAACUUUAUGCUAUAAAUGUAGUAUUAUUUGCUCCCAUUGUUAUUCACUAAGCCAAAUGUGUUUUGGAAAUAUAGUACUUUUAUGUCACGUAAUGGUAGUAAACCUUCCUAAUUUUGUGCAUUUUCUAAGAUUCGUCACUUGGUGAGGGUUGUGUGUGUAGUUUGUAAGGUUUUGAAGGAAGAGUUAUAGGGAUUCAAGGCCGUAGAUUUUUUUGGCUUGUUUACCAUUUCUCUUUUAGUCGUCCAGUAUCUCUUUUGGCCUCAUACUUCAACAAUUAUUUCCAUUAACUAGUCUCUGUUCUUCUCUCCUUCACAUUUGCAGUUUCAUCCAGGGAAGAAUGUGGGUCUUGGCAAGGAUCACACACUUUACUCUUUGAUAGAUGGACUAGUCAAAUUUGAGAAGUUUGGGCCUGAUAAGAAAAGGUGAGUGUCUAUCCACGUGUGGAGCAGCCUGAAAAUCCCAACAGUUACAGAGCAAGAAAGAGAGAGUCCUUCAGAUUACAACGUGAACGUAGACGAGCACGAAGAGAUAGUUUGCUUGCUCAUCCGCAGCUUGUGCUUGCUUCUACUGCCGAAUCCACUGACUACAAUCCAGCUUGUCAAUGCUGACAGAUGUUACAUAUUACUAAUAUUUGCAGUAUCCAGUAUCCACUGUAUUCAUUACUAUGAAUCGUCACCGGCCUUGUACAAGGUUUGCUUCAUUAUAUUUUCAAUUUUUGCUGAGUAACUGUGUUAUUUUAUUAAUUAUUAUUUUUUCUUUUUUUGAGAUUAAGAUGCACAAUAGGAUUAAUCCCAUCAACUCACGAUAGCUACACAAAUUAAUUAUCAAACUAAAAAGGGUAUAUCUUUAGAGUCGAUAUUUCGGAAAAUGUAUAUGGGGUCAAGCAAGAAAAACCCCUCUUAAGGAAUGUACAGGCACUAAUAUAUGUGAAAUCUUAAGGUGGUAGUUUUGUAAUAAUUAAUAAAAAUGUAUAUCUUCAUUCUUAA